rnacentral:rRNA from 1 species
GAGUGGCAAACGGGUGAGUAAUACAUCGGAACGUGCCCAGUAGUGGGGGAUAGCCCGGCGAAAGCCGGAUUAAUACCGCAUACGACCUACGGGUGAAAGCGGGGGACCGAAAGGCCUCGCGCUAUUGGAGCGGCUGAUAUCAGAUUAGGUUGUUGGUGAGGUAAAAGCUCACCAAGCCGACGAUCAGUAGCUGGUCUGAGAGGACGAUCAGCCACACUGGGACUGAGACACGGCCCAGACUCC